rnacentral:rRNA from 1 species
GACGAACGCUGGCGGCGUGCCUAAUACAUGCAAGUAGAACGCUGAAGAGAGGAGCUUGCUCUUCUUGGAUGAGUUGCGAACGGGUGAGUAACCGCGUAGGUAACCUGCCUGGUGGCGGGGGAUAACUAUUGGAAACGAUAGCUAAUACCGCAUGAUAUUAAUUGUCGCAUGAUAAUUAAUUGAAAGAUGCAAUUGCAUCACUACCAGAUGGACCUGCGUUGUAUUAGCUAGUUGGUGAGGUAACGGCUCACCAAGGCGACGAUACAUAGCCGACCUGAGAGGGUGAUCGGCCACACUGGGACUGAGACACGGCCCAGACUCCUACGGGAGGCAGCAGUAGGGAAUCUUCGGCAAUGGGGGGAACCCUGACCGAGCAACGCCGCGUGAGUGAAGAAGGUUUUCGGAUCGUAAAG